rnacentral:rRNA from 1 species
UAGGGAAUCUUCCACAAUGGACGCAAGUCUGAUGGAGCAACGCCGCGUGAGUGAAGAAGGUUUUCGGAUCGUAAAGCUCUGUUGUUGGUGAAGAAGGAUAGAGGCAGUAACUGGUCUUUAUUUGACGGUAAUCAACCAGAACGUCACGGCUAACUACGUGCCAGCAGCCUCGGUAAUACGUAGGUGGCAAGCGUUGUCCGGAUUUAUUGGGCGUAAAGCGAGCGCAGGCGGAAUGAUAAGUCUGAUGUGAAAGCCCACGGCUCAACCGUGGAACCGCAUCGGAAAAUGUCAUUCUUGAGUGCAGAAGCGGAGAGUGGAAUUCCAUGUGUAGCGGUCGAAUGCGUAGAUAUAUGGAAGAACACCAGUGGCGAAGGCGGCUCUCAGGACUGCAACUGACGCUGCGGCUCGAAAGAAUGGAUAGCGAACAGG